CAGUCGCCGCGGUAAUACGAAGGGUGCAAGCGUUAAUCGGAAUUACUGGGCGUAAAGCGUGCGUAGGCGGUUUGUUAAGUCUGUUGUGAAAUCCCCGGGCUCAACCUGGGAAUGGCAAUGGAUACUGGCAAGCUAGAGUGUGUCAGAGGAUGGUGGAAUUCCCGGUGUAGCGGUGAAAUGCGUAGAGAUCGGGAGGAACAUCAGUGGCGAAGGCGGCCAUCUGGGACAACACUGACGCUGAGGUACGAAAGCGUGGGGAGCAAACAGGAUUAGAUACCCGUGUAGUCCCUGUCUCUUAUAC
rnacentral:rRNA from 1 species